GAUGAACGCUGACGGCGUGCCUAAUACAUGCAAGUCGAGCGAACGGACGAGAAGCUUGCUUCUCUGAUGUUAGCGGCGGACGGGUGAGUAACACGUGGAUAACCUACCUAUAAGACUGGGAUAACUUCGGGAAACCGUAGCUAAUACCGGAUAAUAUUUUGAACCGCAUGGUUCAAAAGUGAAAGACGGUCUUGCUGUCACUUAUAGAUGGAUCCGCGCUGCAUUAGCUAGUUGGUAAGGUAACGGCUUACCAAGGCAACGAUGCAUAGCCGACCUGAGAGGGUGAUCAGCCACACUGGAACUGAGACACGGUCCAGACUCCUACGGGAGGCAGCAGUAGGGAAUCUUCCGCAAUGGGCGAAAGCCUGACGGAGCAACGCCGCGUGAGUGAUGAAGGUCUUCGGAUCGUAAAACUCUGUUAUUAGGGAAGAACAUAUGUGUAAGUAACUGUGCACAUCUUGACGGUACCUAAUCAGAAAGCCACGGCUAACUACGUG
rnacentral:rRNA from 1 species